rnacentral:lncRNA from 1 species
AGGGAGUGGAGCAGAGUCGUGGCCAUUACUGUGGCCUGCCGCGUGGAGUCUGUUCCGGGGAGUGAUGGAGCCGCACAGAAUCCAUCGCAGGAGGUGGAGCAGAGUCAUGGCUGUUACUGUGGCCUGCCGUGUGGAGCCUGUUGCGGGGAGUGAUGGAGCCGCACAGAAUCCAUUACAGGAGGUGUAGCAGAGUCAUGGCCGUUACUGUGACCUAUGAGGGAGUCUAGGCCUGUCUGUCGAAGCUCGGUUGAAGUGCCUGACGG